rnacentral:rRNA from 1 species
GGGACACGUGGUAUCCUGUCUGAAUAUGGGGGGACCAUCCUCCAAGGCUAAAUACUCCUGACUGACCGAUAGUGAACCAGUACCGUGAGGGAAAGGCGAAAAGAACCCCGGCGAGGGGAGUGAAAAAGAACCUGAAACCGUGUACGUACAAGCAGUGGGAGCACCUUCGGGUGUGACUGCGUACCUUUUGUAUAAUGGGUCAGCGACUUAUAUUCUGUAGCAAGGUUAACCGUAUAGGGGAGCCGCAGGGAAACCGAGUCUUAACUGGGCGUUAAGUUGCAGGGUAUAGACCCGAAACCCGGUGAUCUAGCCAUGGGCAGGUUGAAGGUUGGGUAACACUAACUGGAGGACCGAACCGACUAAUGUUGAAAAAUUAGCGGAUGACUUGUGGCUGGGGGUGAAAGGCCAAUCAAACCGGGAGAUAGCUGGUUCUCCCCGAAAGCUAUUUAGGUAGCGCCUCGUGAACUCAUCUUCGGGGGUAGAGCACUGUUUCGGCUAGGGGGUCAUCCCGACUUACCAACCCGAUGCAAACUACGAAUACCGAAGAAUGUUAUCACGGGAGACACACGGCGGGUGCUAACGUCCGUCGUGAAGAGGGAAACAACCCAGACCGCCAGCUAAGGUCCCAAAGUCAUGGUUAAGUGGGAAACGAUGUGGGAAGGCACAGACAGCCAGGAUGUUGGCUUAGAAGCAGCCAUCAUUUAAAGAAAGCGUAAUAGCUCACUGGUCGAGUCGGCCUGCGCGGAAGAUGUAACGGGGCUAAACCAUGCACCGAAGCUGCGGCAGCGACACUAUGUGUUGUUGGGUAGGGGAGCGUUCUGUAAGCCUGCGAAGGUGACCUGUGAGGGUUGCUGGAGGUAUCAGAAGUGCGAAUGCUGACAUAAGUAACGAUAAAGCGGGUGAAAAGCCCGCUCGCCGGAAGACCAAGGGUUCCUGUCCAACGUUAAUCGGGGCAGGGUGAGUCGACCCCUAAGGCGAGGCCGAAAGGCGUAGUCGAUGGGAAACAGGUUAAUAUUCCUGUACUUGGUGUUACUGCGAAGGGGGGACGGAGAAGGCUAUGUUAGCCGGGCGACGGUUGUCCCGGUUUAAGCAUGUAGGCUGGUUAUCCAGGCAAAUCCGGAUAAUCAAGGCUGAGGUGUGAUGACGAGGCACUACGGUGCUGAAGUAACAAAUGCCCUGCUUCCAGGAAAAGCCUCUAAGCAUCAGGUAACAUCAAAUCGUACCCCAAACCGACACAGGUGGUCAGGUAGAGAAUACCAAGGCGCUUGAGAGAACUCGGGUGAAGGAACUAGGCAAAAUGGUGCCGUAACUUCGGGAGAAGGCACGCUGGUGUGUAGGUGAAGUCCCUGCGGAUGGAGCUGAGACCAGUCGAAGAUACCAGCUGGCUGCAACUGUUUAUUAAAAACACAGCACUGUGCAAACACGAAAGUGGACGUAUACGGUGUGACGCCUGCCCGGUGCCGGAAGGUUAAUUGAUGGGGUUAUCCGUAAGGAGAAGCUCUUGAUCGAAGCCCCGGUAAACGGCGGCCGUAACUAUAACGGUCCUAAGGUAGCGAAAUUCCUUGUCGGGUAAGUUCCGACCUGCACGAAUGGCGUAAUGAUGGCCAGGCUGUCUCCACCCGAGACUCAGUGAAAUUGAACUCGCUGUGAAGAUGCAGUGUACCCGCGGCAAGACGGAAAGACCCCGUGAACCUUUACUAUAGCUUGACACUGAACAUUGAGCCUUGAUGUGUAGGAUAGGUGGGAGGCUUUGAAGCGUGGACGCCAGUCUGCGUGGAGCCAACCUUGAAAUACCACCCUUUAAUGUUUGAUGUUCUAACGUUGGCCCCUGACCGGGGUUGCGGACAGUGUCUGGUGGGUAGUUUGACUGGGGCGGUCUCCUCCCAAAGCGUAACGGA